CAAGGCUUGACAUAUACCGGAAAGCAUUAGAGAUAGUGCCCCCCUUGUGGUCGGUAUACAGGUGGUGCAUGGCUGUCGUCAGCUCGUGUCGUGAGAUGUUGGGUUAAGUCCCGCAACGAGCGCAACCCUUGUCCUGUGUUGCCAGCAUGCCCUUCGGGGUGAUGGAGACUCACAGGAGACCGCCGGGGUCAACUCGGAGGAAGGUGGGGACGACGUCAAGUCAUCAUGCCCCUUAUGUCUUGGGCUGCACACGUGCUACAAUGGCCGGUACAAAGAGCUGCGAUGCCGCGAGGCGGAGCGAAUCUCAAAAAGCCGGUCUCAGUUCGGAUUGGGGUCUGCAACUCGACCCCAUGAAGUCGGAGUUGCUAGUAAUCGCAGAUCAGCAUUGCUGCGGUGAAUACGUAAAGGGGCCU
rnacentral:rRNA from 1 species